rnacentral:lncRNA from 1 species
UCCGCUUCUGGCUCGUUUUGUGCUUGGCGAAAAACAACUCGACCUACUAUCGGAUACCGAUAAAUAACCUCGGCUGUUAUCAUCGGCAUCUGACCAGCAUUUUGUGGCAAUUGUUUCAGGUCAGCAUUUUUCGUCAUACUUGUGAAGCACUAGAGAACGAUGAACAACGCUGUUUAUUCCUGACAAUGGUAGAUACAAGUCCCAAUAUAUUCCUGCCAGCUGUGCACUUCCGGGGAGAAUAUCGCUGUGGUACGAUCGUGAUUUUCGACCUUGGAGCUUCCCCGAAAUAUCUCCAAUUGCGUAUUGAUCCUGAGUCCCCAGUCCUGAAAGCAAAGAAUCCGAGGACCAUCCGAAGACGCCAAAAUUUAUGGAACAGUCUCACCUCGUGAAGCAAGUCCGCCCGUGUGGUGGGAGUGACACGAUGGGACCGUCAAUUUCGGAGUGGGGAAAGCUACGAUGGGCCAGACUCGAUCGAGAAUUGAACCAGCACGAGUCUUGGGAACGAUCUUGAAGUUAUCUUUGUAUCAGCUAAUCAGAAACAUUGUAAAGGAGAAAACUUUCUAAAUAUUUUUAACACCUUCGGAUGGUAACGCUUGGAGGGCGAUAAAUAGUUAAAAAACUGUAAAAAAAUAAAAUAAAAUAAAAAUGCUACAAUGUAUUUUCGACCCUUGAGAAA